rnacentral:lncRNA from 1 species
ACAACCCAAACCCUCAUUCUAAGAGAUGGGGUCUCACACACAAAACCUCUCUUUUCUUAUCCUCCUUCUCCUAGGCUUCCUUGCUGUCUCAUUCGCUUGCGAAUGUAGCCCUCCUAAACCAUCACCGAGUCCUCACAAACCGCCUAAACAUCCCGUCAAACCGCCUAAACCACCAGCAGCCAAACCACCAAAACCACCGGCAGUAAAACCUCCUAAACCCCCCACCAAACCUCCCACCCUUAAACCACACCCCCACCCUAAACCUCCCACUAAACCCCCCACCGUUAGACCACACCCACACCCUAAGCCCCCUACCAAACCUCAUCCCAUCCCAAAACCGCCCACCGUUAAACCACCACCCUCCACCCCCAAACCGCCCACAAAACCACCCACCGUUAAACCGCCUCCAUCCACCCCUAAGCCGCCCACCAAACCACCCACCGUCAAACCACCACCCUCCACCCCAAAACCGCCCACCAAGCCACCCACCGUCAAACCACCUCCGUCCACCCCUAAACCACCUACCCACAAGCCACCAAUAGUGUGCCCACCGCCAACACCAACACCAACCCCACCUGUUGUAACGCCACCAACACCACCAACACCAACUCCACCAGUCGUUACGCCACCAACACCAGCUCCACCUGUUGUAACGCCACCAACACCAACACCACCGGUCGUAACGCCACCGACACCAACCCCUCCUGUCGUAACACCACCAACACCACCGGUCGUAACGCCACCGACACCAACCCCUCCUGUCGUAACACCACCAACACCACCGGUCGUAACGCCACCGACACCAACCCCUCCUGUCGUAACACCUCCAACACCACCGGUCGUAACGCCACCGACACCAACCCCUCCUGUCGUAAUACCUCCAACACCACCGGUCGUAACGCCACCGACACCAACCCCUCCUGUCGUAACACCACCAACACCAACUCCACCUAAGCCAGAAACAUGCCCAAUCGACACGUUGAAGCUAGGCGCUUGUGUAGACGUUCUUGGAGGUUUGAUUCACAUCGGGCUUGGUGGAAGUAGCGCCAAGAAAGAGAGUUGUCCGGUUUUGGGAGGCUUAGUUGACUUAGACGCAGCUGUUUGUCUAUGUACCACCAUUAAAGCCAAACUUCUCAACCUCGACCUUAUUAUCCCCAUUGCUCUUGAGCUUCUUAUCGACUGUGGAAAGACUCCGCCACCUGGCUUCAAAUGUCCCUCUUAAUGAAUGAAGUGUCUCUCUAUCGUGUUUUUCUUUCUUUCUUUCAAGAAUUUGUUAGUUUGAUAAUCUCUUGGGUGAGGUUAAUUUGCGUGUGUGGGACCUUUAAUCACUUGUUUUGUUGUACAAUAAAAGGCUAUGUAAAACGGUAUAAUUAUCUUUCAACAAAAACAAGUUUAUAUCUCAAUAAAAGGCUAUGUAAAAGGUUUCAGUAUCUUUAACCGUAGGACCGCGAAAAUCCUGAUUGAAAAGCACGAAACAGAAAUCGAUAUAAACGGUAAGAUGAAGAUACAAAAUAUUUAAGAAAUCGUUUAGGAAAUAGAUGAAUUCACGUAGUCGAGAUUUGAUAUAUUUCCUUAACUCAAUAAAUCGCCCGUAUUGUGUGACAGUUUGAAUGCAGUCUAUGAUCCGUCUAUGACGGUUCCCAAACCCAACUCGCGGAUCAUCUCCUCUAGAUCCGUCUCGAGCCGAAGUCUCCGUAUAGGGUGCGAUGGUAACCUUCAGCCACUCAUUGUAGAAUAGGCUGUCAAAGUCGUCCCACGCAUCUUUGAUUUCGCGGUGGGUAUGCAUUUGAUGUCCUUGACGGCAGCGUGAGGGUCGGCAUAAUGCUCAAAGGUCCCAAGGGGUUCUCCUUCAUUUUCCCUCGACCAAGGAUCUCGGUCGGUUUCCGGAGGUGGUGGUGGUGCGCUGGAACUGCUAGGACGAUCAAAAUGUCUCUUGGUUCUCCUCUCUUUGUCGGUCAUCUGCAAACAAAGACCACAAGAGGAAAUUGCAAAAUUAGCGAGGAGGAAGAAACGAUGAUCGAUAUCGAUCGAUACAUGAGUGUCGACAUCGAUCGUCAGCUUGAGUGAACCAUUGACCGACAUGGAUAUCGUGUUGUCGAUCGACGGUUCAUUGCGAAACCUGUAAAAAUUCAACCUUUGCAAUUUGAUUCCAUAUAACACAAUGGUUACACAAUUCAGUAUAUAUCUCGUUUCCCAUUGAUCUAACAGUCCUAAUAUUGUUAGAUUGAGCCACAAUUCAGAGUUUUAGUUCAUCUCAAGUAUCCACCUAGAAAGCUUUAAAGUUUGAAAAUUUUGAAGUCAUACCUUGUAGAUCGGUUGAUUGAGUGAACUAAAUAGAUAGAGAAGUGAUAAUCAAGUGGAUUAGGCUCAAGAACUGCUAAAACGGAUGAGAAUGAUAUCACUCAAAUUACCCUAAGGAGUGACUUUACUCUCUCAAAUAAGAGAUUCAGUUGUAGUACUUAGGGAUCGAAUCCACAGAGAGCUAGGACACACAAAAGAUCUAAUAGUUAUAUCAUUAAGCUAGGCUAAUAGGUUUAAAGCAGUAAAUAUAGAUAGCAAAGCAGUAAAUAAAGCAGUAAACAAGUUGAACAAGACAAUUGUUCAGCUUGGCAGAGAGUUGUUUGAUGGAAGGAUGGUUUGCUAGAUCUAGGAUUUCUAUUCAGGAAAUCAGGAUUAUAAUGAUAUAGAGACUUAAGCAAGAUAUUAUAGAACUCAAUGAUUAGAAUAACCGAUCAUCUCUCGAUUUCUAGAUUAUCUAUUACUACAUCCAAGACCUUCAACUCUCGAUGUCAAAUCUUAGAAAGCGUCGAUCGAUGUCUCUAUAAGAGCAUCGACCGAUACGCCUUUCGUCGUGUCGAUCGAUAUCUCAUUAGGAGAAUCGAUCGACACGCUUCUUGUAAGCGUUUAGCGUGGGUUGAUUAAAUGUUCACUAGGAUUUCUAGAUCAACUCUCGUUUGUUUCUAUCAAUCCUAGCUCAAAGAAGUCAAGUCAGAUAAAACCCCAAGCUUUCGCUUGUGCUUAAUAAAUCUAUGAUCAAGUUCAAGUUAAUUACUCAAGAACAAGCAAUAAGAACAUACUCAAUGAUGAAUAUCACAACUUAGCAAUUCCAUAUUUGGGGCUAAUCUCACAUAACCUAAAUAAACCCUAAAUCUAAAAGGUGGAUCUAUUCAGACAUGAAGUUUGUCACAAAAAUCAUAGAUGAAUAGAUAUAAAUCUGCAAUAGAUAUAAAACCAAAACCAAUGGAGUUCUAGGAGGAGUCUGAAGGAGUUCUUCCCUUAUCUCCUAACCUAAAACAAGAAUUAAAGAAAGCUUAGAUAGCGAAGCCGUCAACAAUGGCUUAUAAAUAACAUAAAUAGGGUUUCUGGUCGUCUAAGAGUAUUCUGGUAAUUUGAGGUUGCUUAUGGGCUUCAGCGGUCACAAAAUAUGCUCAGCACAUAUUCUGGCAUCACUGUCGAUCGACACCAAUGCUGUUUCAUCGAUCGUCAGUCCUUCAUCUCCUCGACAGCUUCCUCUCGCGAGGCAGACUGACCACGCUUCAGUAAAACGGACAUAACCUCUACUACAGGAUGAUGAUUGACCUAAACCCGGCGGCAUUGGAAAGAUAACUCAAAGAUAUAUCUUUUUUAUAAAUAUGGGCUCAAUCUAAUGGUGGGAAGGUCUCCAUCCAUAGCUAAAUAUCUGACGUGUCUGUGCAGUUCUGCACCUCAAAAGACUCCAAAAUCACCAUAUUUCUCCAGAACGUACCUGAACCUGUAAAUACUCUAAAAAGACUCCAAAAAAUAAUAAUUAUAUCUUAAAAAACUUAUAUACAAUGGCUGAAAGUGGGUAAAAUCCAUGGUAUAUCAGAGAAACAAGAGAGAAAUCGAUGGGUGAAUGUUUCAGAGAGUUUUCGCAAUUUAGGAUGAAAUCAAUGAAGUGUCGAUUUAAAUAGGUCCGCGACUCAACAGCGACUAUCGAUCGACGUAGAGAGUGCAAUGUCGAUCGAUGUUGGAUUUUUAAAGUGCAAAGUUAUUUUAGUUAGUUAGUUAGUUAGUUUUUUUAUUCUUUUUUAUUUGAAAAAGAUCCAAAUUCUAAAAGUCUAAUUUUCUAAAUAAGUUAGUGGGUUGCCUCCCACUCAGUGCUUAUUUCAAGUCGUAAGCUUGACUUUCAAAUGGAACUAAUCGGCGAUUGGAGGAUCCAAUCGUAGAAUUUGACUGUCUGGGAUAAUUGCUUAUGUCUAUUAAUGUUUUGCUCUAUGUCCAUUCACUGUGAAUUCAUUUCCUUCUUUUCUUACUAAAGUAAUGCCUCCGUGAGGUCAUACUUCUUUGACCGUAUAGGGGCCUGUCCAUCGGGAACGAAGUUUUCCAGGAAAAAGUGUCAGACGGGAGUUGUACAAGAGCACUUGGUCGUUCGGUUUGAAAUGUCUGGAGAUGAUUUUCUUGUCAUGGUAGGCCUUCGCCUUUUCCUUGUAUAUCUUUGAAUUCUAAUACGCAAGAUGUCUAAUCUCAUCUAACUCGUUAAGUUGAAUCAAUCUCCUCUCAGCAGCUGGCUUGAUGUCGAAGUUAAUUAGUUCUACUGCCCAAGCUGCUUUGUGUUCUAGUUCAACCGGUAAAUGACAAGCUUUUCCGUAAAGUAAAUGGAACGCUGUUGUCCCUAAAAGUGUUUUAAAAGCUUUUCUGUAGGCCCAUAUUGUGUUGUCCAACUUUUUUGACCAGUCUUUUCUUGUGGUCCCUAAAAUCUUCUCUAGGAUUUCUUUUAUCUGGCUAUUUGAAACUUUUACUUGUCCGCUCAUUUGAGGAUGAUAGAGGGUGGCAAGUCGGUGGUGAAAUCCAUGCUUUUUGAGCAAAUUUUCAAACAUUCUAUUAAUGAAAUGGGAAUCACCAUCACUUAUCACCACUCUAGGGACACCAAAUCUCGGAAAAAUGAUGCUUUUAAAUUUUUUAAUGAUAACUUCUACCUCAUUCGUUGGGGAAGCCACCGCUUCAACCCAUUUGGACACAUAGUCAACAUCAACCAAGAUGUAUCUAUUUACAUAUGAAGAGGGAAAAUGGCGCAUCAAAUCAAUUCCCCAGCAAUCAAAAACUUCUACUUCGAGGAUAAAAUUAUGUUUAUUUCGUGUCUUUUGCUGAUUUUUCCUCUUCGUUGGCAUCUAUCACAUCUAACUAUGUGUGCAUGAGUGUCGCGAAAUAUGGUUAGUCACCAAAAACCUGCUUGCAGAAUUUUUGAUACCAUCUUGAAGGUGGAGAAAUGUCCAGCAUAAUCAGAUCCAUGGCAAUGAAAUAGGAUAUCUGGAAUUUCACUUUUUACGGCAUAGCAUCUGUAGAUUCCAUCUGAACAAUGUUUGUAGAGAUAUAGUUCAUCUUAGUAGUAUCGUCGAACUUCUCUCAGAAAUUUAUUCUUUGUAUAUCCUUUGAAAGUUUCCGGUUCUACGUCAGCAGCUAGAUAGUUUACUAUAUCAGCAUACCAGGGUCUAUUUGUGAUAUUUCCAUUUAUUGCGUGCACAUCCUGACUUAACUUUCUAUUUUUUGUAGGGUUCGAUUUAGAUUUAAGUUGGCUGCAAGCGACAUUGACUUCCAAGCCGAUAAGAAUCUUAUUGGGGAAUGAGUCGUGAUGUCGGUUAUCAGUAUCGUCGAUCGAUAAUCCAGGAAUGGUGUCGCUCGACGAUUCAUGCGUGAUAACGGUCGACAUUCCCUCAGUGGUAUCAAUCGACAUCGUUUCAGACGUAAGACAUAUGUUACCGAUGAAUGAAGAGUCCAUUUGAUAUAUGUUCUCCUUUGGUUGGAAGUCAUCAAUGGGACAUCAUUCUCGACUCUUAUUCGGGAGAGGUGAUCAGCAACUCCAUUGUCAACUCCUCUUUUAUCUUUUAUUUCUAUAUCAAAUUCUUGGAGUAACAAGAUCCAUCGCAGAAGUCUUGGCUUUGCGUCUUUCUUCUGCAUUAAAUAUUUCAAUGCGGCGUGGUCCGUGCGAACAACAACUUUUGAACUGACCAAGUAUUGUCUAAACUUCUCGAACGCGAAGACAAUGGCGAGUAAUUCUUUUUCCGUUGUUGUAUAGUUUCGUUGCACGUCAUCGAGAGUGCAACUGGCGUAAUAAACAUCGUGUAGCUUGUUAUCCUUCUUCUGACCUAAAACAGCCCCGACUGCAAAAUCACUCGCGUCACACAUUAUCUCAAAUGGGAGGCUCCAGUCCGGAGCUUGCACGAUAGGGGCGGAUAUCAAGGCAGUUUUAAUCUCCUCAAAAGCUUUUAAGCAUUCUGGUGUGAAAUCAAAUUUCACUUCUUUGCAAAACAGAGCAGUGAGAGGUCUAGCGAUUUUACUAAAAUCCUUAAUAAAUCUCCGGUAUAAUCUAGCAUGUCCGAGAAAACUCCUCAUGUCUUUUACAGUCGUGGGUGCAAGUAAACCGGUCAUAAC